rnacentral:lncRNA from 1 species
CCACUGGGCCAGCCCCCCACAAAACGUUUUUUAAAAGGGAGGGCUAAAUUAUCAUCAGCACGCAGCUGCAAUAGUCAACACUCACCCUUGUUAAUUGAUACGAUACCCCUGAUGGAUGGGUUCCUGUCAAGCACCUCAAAGUGCUGCCACAGACUGAGCACCCAGCAAAUCCAGUGUUCACCUUCUUGGACACGUGUGCUGUUGUUUCAUUAAGAGAGAAGCUGACACGGAGCCGGGGAAAGUGGGCUGAGCUCACGCACAGGCUGAACUUACUCAAAGAGGACUGAAAAAUCAUGGGCUUUUCCGCCUUCUUGAUGACAGAAGCAGAUUAAAUUUGUGGCCAAUUGUAUUGAUUGGGCAGAAACAGGUAAGCUUAAAACAAAACUAAAUUAAACUACAACUUGAAAAUAAACAAUUUCGUGGCUUUAAGUAGAAAAGACCAGAGAGUCAGUAGCUGAAUUGAGAUCAGAACCGAUCGUUUCUGAAUUUCCAGAAAGCAUCAAAAAAUUCCAGGCACCAUGAAGGUCUCAGUCCCAAACUGGGAGAAUUUGCUGAGGGCCGCCCAUGUGGGGCCCCGUCCCCAGCCCAGAGCGGAGGUUUGCAGGUGGAGCCAUCCCAGAGAAUCCUUAAUGACUGCCUCCCGCUCCUUCCCAUUCCUCCCCAGAAGCAUGACCAGGAGAGAAAUGUCUUCCUCUUUUAGACGGAGCUAACACGGGCAAAGGAAGUGAAUUAGUUCCCAUUAUUACAGAUAACACAUAAAUCUCGUGUGAAAGAAAUAACAUAAUGUGUAAUAACGGACUAAAAAACAUGGCUCAAAACACACCAAGAGGGUAAAACCAGAAACUAUCAAAAGUAGAGAAAAUCAGAGAGCUAGCUAUUCACACAAAAAUGAAGCGGGAAAACCCCGGGGGCCGUGCAUACUGUGCUGAAGUGAGUUUUAGCUACUCAUGCUGUGUUAACUGGUGAUGAAAUGUCAUUGAGCUUAAAAUAAAGUAAGUUUGUAGUCCCAGAUAACACUCGACAAGAUCAAAUAAUGUUGGCCACUAUUCCCAGUUAUAUGAAGAAAUAACUCAUGGCAAUGCACCAAUAUGUCAAGAUUUUUCACAGGAGGCCAUACGAGAACUAGUUGGCUGGCGUCAGGCUUGUUUAAAAGCUCAUUCGCCCCCCUUAGUCGCUGUCCUUUCACCUUUAUGUGUCAUAUAUCCUGGUCUCCUGUCGAUGUGGUUGUCAGAGCACAGUUUAAUCGUGCUGGCCCCUCAACAGAGCCGUGUUAAAUGUAAAGACUGCAGAGUUCCUGCCGAAAGGGAAGUGCAGAGGACUGGAGCCAGCUGAAGUCAUGCGCUGUCAGGUGACAAUAAGACUGUGUCAUUUUAUGACACAUAUCCCUGAGGUUCCUAUGAACUUUGCACAGAGUUUUUUUCUGUUUUGUUAUCCUGACAUCCU